CUUACUUUUUUUAAUCAUAAUUCAUAUUCUUGAGUUCUUUCGUUGUACAUUGUUUUUUGAUAAGUUAGUUUUUUUUUUUUUUUUUUUUGUGACAAUGUGAUUGUGCUUAUGGACGGUCAAGUGCUGUUUAGAUGAUUUAACAGUAGCACUUAACAAAAAUACAUAAGCUACAUUGAUAAGCCACUAGGUUCCUUGCCUUUCCUUGAGUUUCAUUCUGGAAGACUAUCCCCUAGUGGCUGAUAUAUUUUGCAGAACGAGUAAUAUUGCGGGGUUGUUUAGUUGCUAGUUAGAGUUAAGCAUGUCUUAGAAAUGUUAUGGAUGGAUUAGUUAUGUCGGGUUUGGUUAUUUCUUUGUUGUUCUGUUUGUCGUGAUAAUUUAUGUAUGGGGCAAGCUGUUGCGGUACUUGUAUGACUCAAGUGGAAAAAAUCAUCACAGAGCAAGUCCCUUUUGUUGAUGCAUAGGCUGUUGAGGCUUUUCCCUCUUUUAUUGGGAGGAAAGAAUCCUGCUUUAGUAUCCGAAAGGGAGCGAUGUCAUAUCCUAUCGCCUUGGGUAGCAGAGUCUCUGUAAUUACCAUUUGGGAUUGGCCAUGAGAUAUACAUUCUUUAUAUAUUUUUCUUAGACAGAUGUUGCUAUAAUUUUAAAGUCUUGCUAAGGUACUUGGGGGCUUUGCACAAUACUUGAGUUGGAUGUGAGUACAAAAUUUGUGAAUUCAACUAGGCCAGUAAAUACAAGACAUCAAGUUGUUGCUUAGUUGCUCAUUAGAGCUGUUGGUCCUAGAAAUGUUAUGCAAUGAUUAGCUAUGUGGGGUUUAAUUAUUUGACCUUGUGGUUCGGCCUUUUCUUGGACCCCAGUUGUAGUGCACCAACACGCACACACACAAUUUUUUUUUUUUAAUGUUCUUUUUGUUUGUGAUGAUUUAUGUUUCACAUCAUAAUCGAAUUCCCCCUCGAGAAUGAUGAGAUCUAUGCAUAUGUGCAAACGCAGCAUCUCCUUAUUUAGGGUGAUGCAGUGAGCGGCACUUUCCACACGAGAUUUCUGACUCCCCCUUCCCUUCACCAUUUUCCUCUUAUCUAUAUAUCAGUUGAUUUUUGAAAAGGAAAAAUAAUCGAAUCCCCCCUCCCUCUAUUUAAUUUUUAUGUAUUUUUUUCUUGUUUUUGUUUGUGGAUUUGAAAUAUGAUAUUUUGACUGAAAAUAGGGCCGGUGAUGUAAGUAAAUAUUUGCUACUCUUGAUGGGAAUAUAUCAAAUUUCCAUUUGAUGAUUCUUUAUCCACCAAGAUCUCUGAGGCCCAUUUCUUUUUUUUUCUUUUCUAAAAUAGUGUAAGGUUUUCUCCUUAGUAUGAUUUGUUGCAGUACUUGUAUUUGUAUGACUCAUGUGGAAAAAAGUUAUCACAGAGCAAGCCCCUUUUGUUGAUGCAUAGGCUGUCAAGGCUUUAACUAGAGUAGACAGUACACCCUAGGAUCGUAUGUACUAAGGGGUUGUUUAGUCGCAGGUUAGAGUUAUGUAGGUCCUAGAAAUGUUAUAAAUGGAUUAGUUACGUUGGGUUUAGUUAUUUCAUCUUUUAUCGUUCUUUUUGUUUGCGAUGAUUUAUGUUUGAAUUUGUGCAAAUUGUUGUUGUACUUGUAUAACUCACCCUUUUGAUGAUGCAUUGCCUGUUGAGGCUUUUCUCUCUUCUAUGAGAGGAAAGAAUCCUGCUUUAGUAACCGAAAGGGAGCAACAUCAUAUCCUAACACCUUCGGUAGCAGAAAUAUGCAUUCUUUAUAUGUUUUUCUUACAUAGAGUUGCUAUAUAAUGUGAAAAUUAUGGUAAUGAAGUUAGGGGCUUUGUAGAAUACUUGAAUUGGCUGGUUGAUACAAGACAUCCUAGGAUUCUAUUGUACCAUGGGAUAGUUUAGUUGCUACUUAGUGUCAUCAAUGCAGGUUUUAGAAAUGUUAUGCAGUUAUUUAGAAAUGAGCAACUGUACUACUUUUUGUUGAUUUUCUUCAUACAAGAAUUUCUUUGAGAUAAUUUUUCAUAUUUAGCUCCAAUAGAACACUCUCUUUAAAAAUAAAGAUAAUUGAUUUUGCAGUUUCCAGUGCUUCAUAGAGUGCCUCCUGAAUUCAUCAUCUUGGUGGACAAUGUGUCCAACUCUCGUACGAAUGAGUUGUUUGGAAACCCACGGCCAAAUGAGUAUAUUAUAGAGAGCAGACAAAGAUUUCCAUUAAUAAGUCUCUUUGGUAUCCCGUUAAUCCAAUUUGGAAUUUGACUGAUUAAUUGUUCUUUUGGAAAGUGAAUAAAGUUUUUUCUUUUGUUACAAUGUGAUUGUGCUUAUGGACGGUCAAGUGUUGUUUAGAUGAUUUAACAACAAUACUUAACAAAAAUACAUAAGCUACAUUGAAGGCCACUGAGUUCUUUAUUUAUGUCUUUUAUUGAGAUUCUAUCAGGAAGACUAUCCCCAUGUGGCUGAUAUUUAUUGCAGAAAAGUUAUUUCUUGUUGAGAGGAGUAAUAUUUUCCUGGGGUCGUUUAGCUGCUAGUUAGAGUUAGAGAUAAGAUCCAUUACCCCUGAACUAUGACCAUUACCCCCUAAACUAUGACCAUUACCCCUGAACUAUGACCAAAGUUGCUACGACACACUCCAACUCCAUGGGGGCCUAUUACCCCUGAAAUCAAUUUUAGCGGAUUUUUGUUGUCCUUUCGUGCGGAUGUGGCACCUUGCGUGAAGUUAAACACCCGAGGCGCGUGAAGGACUACCAUGUGCCACGUUAGCUGAAAAGAUUGAUAAAAAUACCCUAAAAUUUAGUUGAGGGGGUAAUAGGAUCCCCGUGAAGUUGAAGUUUGUCGUAGCAGGGUACUAGAUGCUCUCUUAGAGCUAUGCAUGACUUAGAUUGUUAUUCAGGGAUUAGUUAUGUUGAGUUUAGUUAUUUCUUCUUUUAUUGUUUUUGUCGUGAUGAUUUAUGUUUUGCAUUGGGGCAAGUUGCGGCGGUGUACUUGUAUGACUCAAGUGGAAAAAAUCAUCACAGAGCAAGUCCCUUUUGUUGAUGCAUAGGCUGUUGAGCUUUUUCCCUCUUUUAUUGAGAGGAAAGAAUCCUGCUUUAGUACCCGAAAGGGAGCGAUUUCAUAUCCUAUCGCCUUGGGUAGCAGAGUCUCUGCAAUUACCAUUUGGGAUUGGCCAUGAGAUAUACAUUCUUUAUAUAUUUUUCUUACACAAAUGUUGCUAUAAUUUGAAAGUCUUGCUAAGGUACUUAAGGGCUUUGUACAAUACUCGAGUCGGAUUUGAAUACAAAAUAUGUGAAUUCAACUAGGCCAGUAAAUACAAGACAUCAAGUUGUUGCUUAGUUGCUCAUUAGAGCUGUUGGUCCUAGAAAUGUUAUGCAAUGAUUAGCUAUGUGUGGUUUAAUUAUUUCACCUUGUGGUUCGGCCUAUUCCUUGACCCCAGUUGUAGUGCACCGACACACACACACACACACAUUUUUUUUUUUUAAUCUUCUUUUUGUUUGUGAUGAUUUAUGUUUCACAUCAUAAUCGAAUUCCCCCUCGAGAAUGAUGAGAUCUAUGCAUAUGUGCAGAUGCAGCAUCGCCUUAUUUAGGGUGAUGCAGUGAGCGGCACUUUCCACACGAGAUUUCUGACCCCCCCCCUUCUUCCCUUCACCAUUUUCCUCUAUCUAUAUAUUAGUUGAUUUUUGAAGAAAAAAAAUAAUCGAAUCCCCCCUCCCUCUCUUUAUUUAAUUUUAUGUAUUUUUUUCUUGUUUUUGUUUGUGGAUUUGAAAAAUGAGAUUUUGAACGAAAAUAGGGCCGGUGAUGUAAGUAAAUAUUUUCUACUCUUGAUGGGAAUCUAUCAAAUUUGCAUCUGAUGAUUCUUUAUCCACCAAGAUCUCUGAGGCCAUUUUCUUUAAUUUUGUUUUCUUUUCUAAAAUAGUGUAAGGUUCUCCUUAGUGUGGUUCAGGUUGUUGCAGUUCUUGUAUUUGUAUGACUCAAGCGGAAAAAAAUCAUCACAGAGGAAGGCCCUUUUGUUGAUGCAUAGGCUGUUGAGGCUUUAACUAGAGUAGGCAGUACACCCUAGGAUCGUAUAUACUAAGGGGUCGUUUAGUUGCUGGUUAGAGUUAUGUGGGUCCUAGAAAUGUUAUACAUGGAUUAGUUACGUUGGGGUUUAGUUAUUUCUUCUUUUAUCCUUUUUUUGUUUGAGUUGGUGCAAAUUGUUGUUGUACUUGUAUGGCUCAAGUGGUAGAAAAUCAUCAUAGAGCAAACCCCUUUUAUUGAUGCAUUGCCUGUUGAGGCUUUUCUCUCUUUUAUUAGAGGAAAGAAUCCUGCUUUAGUAUCUGUAAGGGAGCGACGUCGUAUCCUAUUGCCUUGGGUAGCAGAGAUAUACAUUCUUUACAUAUUUUUCUUACAUAGAGUUGCUAUAUAAUUUGAAAAUUUUGGUAAUGAAGUUAGGGGCUUUGUACAAUACUUGAGUUGAGUAGUUGAUACAAGACAUCCUAGGAUUCUGUUGUAGUAUGGGAUAAGUUUAGUUGCUAGUUAAGUGUCAUGCAUGCAGGUUUUCGAAAUGUUAUGCAGUUAUUUAGAAAUGAGCAACUGUACUUCUUUUUGUUGAUUUUCUUCAUACAAGAACUUCUUUGAGAUAAUUUUUCAGAUUUAGCUCCAAUAGAACACACUGUUUAAAAAUAAAAAUAAUUGAUUUUGCAGUUUCUAUUGCUUCGUAGAGUGCCACCUGAAUUCAUCAUCUUGGUGGACGAUGUGUCCAGCUCUCAUAUGAAUGAGUUGUUUGGAAGCCCCCGGCCAAAUGAGAAUAUUAUAAAGAGCCGAAAAAGAUCUCCAUGAUUAAGUCUUUUGGAAUCGCGUUAAUCCAAUUUGGACUUUGACUGAUGAAUUGAUUUUUUGGAAAGUGAAUAAAUUUUAUUGUUUUUGUUACAAUGUGAUUGUGCUUAUGGGCGGUCAAGUGUUGUUUAGAUGAUUUAACAAAAAUACUUAAGCAGCACUGAAAGGCCACUGGCUUCUUUAUUUAUGUCUUUAAUUGAGAUUCAAUCGGGAAGACUAUUCCCUUGUGGCUGAUAUUUAUUGCAGAAAAGUUAUUUCUUGUUGAGAGGAGUAAUAUUUACCUGGGGUCUUAUAGCUGCUGCCUGCUAGUUAGAGUUAUGCAUGUCUUACUUAUUUCUUGUUUUAUUCUUUUUGUCGUGAUGAUUUAUGUUUUGCAUUGGGGCAAGUUGUUGUGGUACUUGUAUGACUCAAGUGGAAAAAUCAUCACAGGGCAAGCCCCUUUUGUUGAUGCAUAGGCGUUUGAGACUUUUCCCUCUUUUACGAGGGGAAAGAAUCUUGCUUUAGUAUCCUAAAGGGAGCGAUGUCAUAUCCUAUCGCCUUGGGUAGCAGAGUCUCUGCAAUUACCAUUUGGGAUUGGCCAUGAGAUAUACAAGUUUCUUACACAAAUGUUGCUAUAAUUUUAAAGUCUUGCUAAGGAGCUUAGGGACUUUGUACAAUACUCAAGUUGGACUUGAAUGCAAAAUUUGUGAAUUCAACUAGUAGGCCAAUAAAUACAAGACAUCAAGUUGUUGCUUAGUUGAUAGUUAGAGUUGUUGGUCUACAAGUGUUAUGCAAUGAUUAGUUAUGUGGGGUUUAAUUAUUUCACCUUGUGGUUCGGCUUUUUCCUGGACCCUGCACAUAGCUGGAGCUGUAGUGCAUCGGGUUCCCCCCAUCCUACCCUUUGUUUUUUAAAAAAUCUUCGUUUUGUUUGUGAUGAUUUAUGUUUCACAUCAUAAUCGAAUCCUCCCUGGAGAAUGAUGAGAUCUAUGCAUAUGUGCAAACGCAGCAUCACCUUAUUUAGGGUGAUGCAGUGAGCGGCAUUUUCCACAUGAGAUUUCUGAUUCCCUCUUCCCUUCACCAUUUUCCUCUAUCGAUAUAUCAGUUGAUUUUUGAAAAAAAUAAAAUAAUCGAACCCCCCUCCCUCUCUUUAUUUAAUUUUAUGUAUUUUUUUUCUUGUUUUUGUUUGUGGAUUUGAAAAAUGAGAUUUUGAACGAAAAUAGGGCCGGUGAUGUAAGUAAAUAUUUGCUACUCUUGAUGGGAAUUUAUUAAACUUCCACCUGAUGAUUCUUUAUCCACCAAGAUCUCUCAGGCCCUUUUCUUAAUUUUGUUUUCUGGCAGGUUGUUGCAGUAUAUAUAUAAGAAGUUUCUACAUAAUUUAAAGAUUUUGGUGAUGAACUUGGUGGUUUUAUACAAUACUUGUGUUGAAUUUGAAAACAAAAUUUGAUAAUUUAACUAGGAUAGACUGUACACUCUUGGAUCGUAUGUACUAAGGGGUCGUUUAGUUGCUGGUUAGAGUUACGUAGGUCCUAAAAAUGUUAUACAUGGAUUAGUUACGUUGGCUUUAGUUAUUUCAUCUUUUAUCGCUCUUUCUUUUUGAUGUUUUAUGUUUGGGGCAGGUUGUUACUGUACUUUGUAUGACUCAAAAAGUGUAAAAAAAGUUAUCACAGAAGAAGCUACAAUUAGAAGAAGGGCUAAACAAAGAAUUUGAAGUACAGGGAUAUUACUCCAUUUGUGUAAAGCUUACAAAGGAAAUGUUGAGUUGGUUGGUCCGAUGUUGCUCGGACUCUUCAAAAAUGUCAGCAGGUGCGUGUUGGAUUUUUCGAAAGUAGUGUAUAUUUGGAGAAUCCGACAUGGUGCGGUAUCAAAAGUGAAGAGUUUGUGCAACUUAGGAUUGGACAACGAGCGGCGAAAAACUAUCCCAUCAUGCAUUUGAUUGAUGAUAUGGAUUGGAAAGAAAUAAAAGAUGUUACAAUAGAUUCAGCUCAUUACACAACAUUAAGGUGAAUUGUAUUUUGUUGUUUCACUUUUGAUGUAAAGAAAAGUAUUUUGAUGAAGUUGAAUCAAUUGUUGUCUUGUAGUCAUGCAGUUUCCUUUAAUUUCUUGCUCUUUUUUAUGUUGUCAUUUUGGUUUCUAUAUUUGUUACAUUCAUCCUAUAUCUGUUAAUGAUUUGUAUCCUAACAUUUCUAUGUUCUUACAAAACCAUAAAAAAUAUCCAUUCUAAAAAUACUUGAACUUUGAUCGGAUUUGCAGUUGAGCAUAUUGAACUUUUCAGGGUCUUAUUACCUACCUAGAUUUUUUUAAAGUGAAUUUAAUUUCCCCGAAAUGUUAUACCCAGUUUUGGUGGCUGGCGGUGUAAUACAUGCGCCAGUCUGAUGUUUACACAUGUAUUUUUUGUCAGAUGGUGGUGUAAUACACGCGUCAAUUUCAUAUUUAUACGUGUUCAAGUGGGCGGAUAUAUCUAUGCUAUUAAAAUACGAAAAAAAGUUUAGGGGAUGAUAGGAUUUCUGCAAAGUUCAGUAUGCUCAAUUGUAAAUUCAAGCAAAGUUCAGGUAUUUUUGUAAUUAUUAUCUGUUUAUUUUUUGUAAUUACAACAUGAGGAACAUACAAUUCAAAUAUCCCUUUAAGUAAUUGUGUGAGAGAAUUUAUUUUAUUUUAUUCUCUUGCUUUUGAUCUUAAGCGCUUGAAAGGAUUAUAGCUUUUUCGCGACCUGGAGACAUCUACUGGACUUUGUAAGGACUCUAGUAGUUGCGGAACAUAGGAGUAAUAAAGUCAUUUAAAUCAAACGAUCGAUAUUCAAAUUUCAUUAAAAAGCUUAGACGAUCAGGAUGUUGCCACAUUAGCCGAGUUGGUUAUAUAACCAACUUAGGAGAGAGAGAAUACCAACGAAAAUUUGUUAUUUUUCAACCCCCUUCAUGUUUCUCUUCUCUAUCAGUCCUCUCCUUACUCUCUUUCUAAAUCUCUAAUUUCUCUUUCUCUUCUACUGCAGAUUCAAGGAUGAUCAUGGUAGCCCAACUAUCUUUACUAUCCUAGUUUACUUCAGUUUUUAUUUCUUUUGUAUUUGAAUUCCAUUUCUCUUAUUCUUAAAUAUAAAUCGAAAAUUGUCCCAAAACAAGCUCAAAUUUCCUUUUAGAUUGUGAAUUGAAUUCCAGAUCUCACUUGAGGGCAUAACAAUUAGUAUCAGAGACACCGUUUCGUGCGAUCUGUGUGGUUGAUAUGCCUGAGGGUACCCUUUUCAAAUUGGUGGAUGAACGACUUGCGAGGCAUGAUGAAGUUUUGAAUGAGCUACUAGCUAACUAGCAAGAGGUUCAAAACACUCACACGGGUAUUCAAGGAAUCUUUGAGCUAAUAUUGGAUCGACUUACAGCUCUAGAGAGAGCUUCGAACAGGGCACCAGCUUAACAACAAUUAGGAGAUGGAUUGCUUCCAAUUCCAGCUCAUGACCAUAGACCAGACAGGUUGCAGGCAGUACCUAUUCCUGUUCCUAAGUGGGAGCUACAUUGCUUCGAAGGGCACGAGCCUAAGGUAUGGAUUCGAAAGUGUGAACGCUAUUUCAAUCUAUAUAAGACACAGGAUAAUCAUAAGGUAGAGGCUGCGACAUUGUAUUUGAAUGGACUAGCUGAGAUUUGGUACCAUUCAUUGGUGUUGAGUAGAGGUGUGGUUAACUGGAUGGAGUUUAAGAAAGAAUUAAUCAAUAGAUUUGAUGAUGAAUUGAUAUGGGAUAUUGUAGAAGAAUUCAACAAACUCACUCAGGUAGGUACUGUGGAUGAAUUCCUAGGGAAGUUUGAGGAGCUGAAGGCUCAGAUGCUAGUGCGAAACCCCAAUUUGAAUGAAUCUCACUUCCUAUCUAGUUUUGUGGGAGCAUUGAAGGAAGAGAUCAAGUUUGAGUGAAAAUGUUUAAGCCUACUACUCUAAAGGUUGCAGUGGAGAAGGCUAGGAUGCAGGAGAAAGCUAUUGACGCUGUCCAAAGGAGGCACAAGGUUCAACACAAAUCUGCUCUAGUAGUGAGCAACCCUUCUUAUGCUAAAAAUUCAAUGCCCAAUACUAGUAGACCUACUGCUUUUAAGUUGAGUCCUGAGGUCUAUGAGUACAGAAAAAGUAAUAGGUUAUGCUUUAGGUGUGGAGAAAAAUAUGCACCUAGUCAUCAGUGCAAGAAGCAACAACUUAAUUGUUUAAUUGGAGAAGUGGAGGUGGAAGAAGUAGGUCCAGAUAUAGUAGAAAAUCCUUCCAUCCCGACCUGAUUAUUGAAGGAGAUGUAGAACAAGUGGUGCAGGAAGCUGUAUGCCUGAAAGUUCUAUCAGGAAAUUCCUAGGGAGAAAACACUAUUUUGGUCGAUGGAACUAUCAAGAACAAAAGUCUAACUUUAUUGGUUGACACUGAAAGUACUCACAGUUUCAUUGACCAAAACACCGUAGUUGGAGCUGGCUAUCAAGCAACUUUUUGUGCACCAGUAAGAGUAACAGUAGAUGAUGGAAAUUAUGUCAUAUGCACUUCACACUGUAAUGGAUUUUCAUGGAAAAUGCAAGGCAGAUCUUUUCAGGAGGAUCUUCUGAUUAUUCCUCUAGGAGGUAGUGACAUUGUUUUAGUCAAUGAUUGGAUAAAGAAAUACAAUCCCACCAAGUUUGAUCAUGAGAAGAAUUGUGUUACUAUUGAUAGGAAGAACAACAAACUAGUCCUAAAAGAAGUCACUGGUGAAGGCAAACUAAACAUGAUCCAUGGUAACACUAUGAAUAAGAAUCUGAAGAAAGGUCAAACCCUCAUUGCACACUUGUUUGUGAUGAGUGUAGCACAUGAUGGAGUUCAAGAGCCAUUGAAUGAGACUAUUGAAAGAGUUCUAGACCAUUAUCCUGAUGUGUUUGCAGAGCCUACAACCCUUCCCUCUGUCAGGUCACUUGAUCAUUCAAUACCACUUAAGCCAUGUGUGUCUCCAAUCAGUUUGAGGCCCUAUAGAUACAAUUAUUAUCAGAAGAAUGAGUUGGAGAAACAGGUUUCUAAGAUGCUCAGACAUAGAAUUAUUCAACAAAGCCAAUCUCCAUUUUCUUCGCUUGCUCUUUUGGUUAAAAAAAAGAUGGCUCCUGGAGGUUCUAUGUUGAUUAUAGAGGACUAAAUAAUAUCUCUGUGAAAAAUAAGUACCCUAUUCCUAUUGUGGAUUAUCUACUUGAUGAACUACACGGUUCUGUUAUAUUUUCUAUGGUGUAUCUCAUAGUUGGCUUCCAUCAAAUUAGGAUGAAGAUAGAAGAUGUGUACAAGACUGCUUUCAGGAAACACUUAGUCCAUUAUAAGUUUAAGGUGAUGUCCUUUGGUUUUCCUAAUGCUCCUGCUACAUUCCAAGCCCUGAUGAAUCAGGUUUUUCAACCUUACUUGAGGAAGUUUGUUUUGAUGUUUUUUGAUGAUAUACUUAUUUAUAGUGUAUCCCUCGAGGCACAUGUGAAGCAUUUGGUUGUUGUUUUUGAUCUACUGAAACAACACUCAUUGUUUGCUAAGAUGUCCAAGUGCUCUUUUGAACAAGACAAGGUGGAGUAUUUGGGGCAUGUUAUUACUAAGGAUGGAGUCUCAACUGAACCUGCUAAGAUUCAAGCUAUAGUGGACUGGCAUACACCUAAAUCAAUUAAAGCACUUAGAGGAUUUUUGGGGUUAACUGGUUAUUACAGGAAAUAUGUAGCUGGUUAUGGACCUAUAUGCAGACCUCUUACUGAUGUGUUGAAAAAGAAAGCUUUCAGGUGGAAUACAGAAGCUGAUAUUGCAUUUCUGAGCUCAAAGUUGCCAUGGUUUCUACCCCUGUAUUGAUUUUACCUGAUUACUCCAAGAAAUUUAUUGUGGAGACUGAUGUUAGUCAUAGUGGUAUUGGUACUAUGUUGAUGCAGGAAGGAAGACCUGUGACUUACUUUAAUAAGGUCUUAGCACCUAAACAUAGAGGCAAAUCUGUUUAUGAGAAAGAAUAUAUGGCAUUACUCAAUGCAGUGGACAAAUAGAGGCAUUAUUUGCAGUUCAAGCACUUUGUGAUCAGGACUGAUCACCAUAGUUUAUAGUACUUGGUAGAACAAAAGGUUACCUCAGUUAUACAACAAAAAGGAUUGUCUAAAUUGUUGGGAUUGGAUUAUGAGAUCCAGUAUAAAAAGGGUAAUGAAAAUAGAGUGGUUGACGCCCUCUUGAGACAAACUGAUAAUGGACAAUUGAUGAUGAUUAGUGCUACCCUCCCAUCUUGGGCACGAGAAGUCACUUCCAGCUACUCAGGUGACACUCAAGUUGAGGAAUUGAUCACUCAACUAUCAAUGGAUUUGCAAGGCCCUUUCUUAUUGCAUCUCACUUCGGGAAUACUUAAGAGGAAGGGAAAGGUCUAUAUUGGAGGUGCUGGUGAUCUCAGGCAACAUUUGUUCUCCACAUUUCAUAAUUCUCCUAUAGGUGGUCACUCAAGCCAAUUAGACACCUAUAAAAAGACUGUCACAAAUCUUUUACAGGCCUGGCAUAAAAUAGAUGUGGUGGAUUAUGUUAACAGUUGUGAUGUAUGUCUCAAAAACAAAAUGACUAAAGUUCAUUGAAGGAUUGCCCAAGUCUAAAGGCAAAGAGGUGAUUUUUGUAGUUGUGGAUAGAAUGACUAAGUAUGCACACUUUAUUGCACUUUCACAUCCUUAUACUGUUGUUGAUGUUGCUGAGAUAUUCUGGAAAAGGAUUCAUAGCCUCCAUGGAACUCCUGAAUCUAUAGUCACUGACAGGGAUAAGGUUUUCCUCAAUAACUUUUGGCAGGCAUUGUUUAAACUUUUGGACACACAACUACAUUAUAGCACUGUGUACCACCCCCAAAGUGAUGGGCAAACUGAGAGAGUGAAUAAAUGUGUGGAGAAUUUUCUCACAUAUAUGACAUCUAACAGACCUCUCAAUUGGGAAUAGUGGUUAUCUAUUGCAGAAUGGUGGUACAAUACUAACUUUCACAAUAGCCUACAGUGCACACCCUUUGAAGCCUUGUAUGGUUACUCACCUCCUCACUUGUCUAUGGGGCCACUAUUGGAAACUAAUGUCCCAGCUGCUAAGGAUUUAGUACUAAAAAGGCAACAAAUGUACAAGCUCUUGAGGGAUAACUUGAUUAAAGCUCAAGAGAGAAUGAAGUAUUAUGCUGAUAAAAGAAGGUCUGAAAGAGAGUUUUAGGUAGGUGAUUUGGUGUACUUAAAAUUGCAACCUUAUAGGCAAUCGUCAGUUGCCUUGAGAAAAAAUUUGAAGUUGUCUUCCAAAUAUUAUGGUCCCUUUAAGGUUAUUUCCAGAGUUGGCAUGGUGGCUUAUAAACUAGAAUUGCCUGCAGCAUCUAGAGUGCAUCCUGUUUUUCAUGUUUCUUUGUUGAAAAAGAAGGUUAGUGAUACUGUGGUGGUGCAAACUGCUUUACCUAGAACUAAUGAAAAUGGCCAGUUUUUAGUGCAACCAGUUGCUAUACUUCAAAGGCAGAUGGUCACUAAUCAAGCAUAAUAAUACAGUUGCGGUUAAGGUGUUGGUCAAUGGUCUAACCUCUUUCUUGAAGAUGCAACCUGGGAAGACUACCAGUUCCUCAAACGUCAAUUUCCCAACUUCGAUUCUCAUCCUUAAGGACAAGGAAGGUUUUGAGAGGCAGGGUAUGGAAGGACCCUAGUAGUUGCGGAGCACGGGAGUAAUUAAGUCAUUUAAAUCGAACGGUCGAUAUUCAAACUUCAUUAAAAAGCUUAGACGAUCAGGAUGUUGCCACAUCAGCCAAGUUGGUUAUAUAACCAACUUAGGAGAGAGAGAAUACCAAUGAAAAUCUGAUUCAAGGAUGAUCAUGGAAGCCCAACUAUCUUCACUAUCCUAGUUUACUUCAAUUUUUAUUUUCCUUGUAUUUGAAUUCCAUUUCUCUUAUUUUUGAAAUAUAAACCAAAAAUUGUCCCAAAACAAGCUCGAAUUUCCUUUUAGAUUGUGAAUUGAAUUCCAGAUCUCACUUGAGGUCA